CCAAGGCAACGAUCAGUAGCCGACCUGAGAGGGUGAUCGGCCACAUUGGAACUGAGACACGGUCCAAACUCCUACGGGAGGCAGCAGUGAGGGAUAUUGGUCAAUGGGGGAAACCCUGAACCAGCAACGCCGCGUGAGGGAUGACGGCCUUCGGGUUGUAAACCUCUGUCCUCUGUGAAGAUAAUGACGGUACUUGAGGAGGAAGCCCCGGCUAACUAC
rnacentral:rRNA from 1 species